rnacentral:lncRNA from 1 species
UUAGGUUUGCUGGCUGACACCAGUCAGAAUGGUAGGACUCCAAGUGAUGUGAUGGUCCUAAAAUUGAAUGGAUGAAAUCACCUAGGAAAUGGUCUCAGUAUGUCUUGGGGGUCCAGAGGAAUAAGUUGCAGGUUGGAUGACAAGGAAAUGACCAUGAUGAAUGCUUGAUGAAAUAUGAAGGAUGGUUUAGAAUAUGACUGCUACGGAAAGUGAUAGAAGAUUAUGAUCAGUAUUAUCUUGUAAAGCAAGGAAACCUCCAGGAGAAAAACUUGUAAAGAAAUUGGUGAAACUCAGCUAAAACAAAUCAUCCCAACAUUAACAUAUGAAUAUAAAUUUAUUGUUAACCAUCAAUUAAACAUCUACUAAGUUCUAGGUACUAUCCCUAUAAGGAUGAACCUAGAAGGACAACAAAAAGCUUUAAAGGUGCUUAAAUGGACCUUCAAGGUAUAUUGAAGAAGGAAAAAAUUCUAAAUGGUUGAAAAAGAACAGAGCUACUAUUUUAUCAAAAGAGAUUUAAAAAUAUCAACAGUCCAAAACAUAAGUCUGUUUUAUCUCUAUUCAGUCCUCAUGAGAAUGAAGCAAGAAGAUUGCCCUGUUCAAAAGUCAUCAGUAGCAUCCUUUUACCAGUCAAAGUUUACUGAAUGCAUCCUUCUUAGAACUCCAGUAAUAGUGGAUGAAAUGGAUGACAUGAACCUUACCCUGUUCUCAUAUAAUUGUGAUGUCCUUGUUCAGUUCUUCUUACUUAAGGAUAUGUCAUAUCUAUCUCAAGUCUCCUCUGCCCAGUUUCCUCCAGUUGUGGCAGCAAGGAAUCCCUCCAGGCUGGGGCCCUCACUCCAAGAUUCCAGGGACCACCAGACACUUAGCACAGUAGUACUCCAAAACUGCUUUCAGAGAGCAUUCUCAAAUCACUUUUGCUGUCCUCAGAGAUCGACAAUUCACAGUUAUAUGAUGUUUUAAUUCUAUUUUAUUUGUACUUCACAAAAACCUUAAAUGUAAAUGAAAUCUACAGAUAAUAUUAUCAUCCACAUUUUACUGAUAGUGAAAGAGAGAUGUGAUUUCCUCAGUUACAAAGGUAGUUCAUAAAAGAGACUGGAUUUGAACUGAGGUCUCUGUCUUUCUAACUUCAAGUCCAUUAUUUCAUAUACUCCAC